rnacentral:rRNA from 1 species
AGGAAUAUUGGACAAUGGGGGCAACCCUGAUCCAGAAAUGCCAUGUGUGUGAAGAAGGCCUUAAGGUUGCAAAGCACUUUAGUUGGGGAGGAAAGCUUCGAGGUUAAUAGCCUUGAGGAGGGACGUUACCCAAAGAAUAAGCACCGGCUAACUCCGUGCCAGCAGCCGCGGUAAUACGGGGGGUGCAAGCGUUAAUCGGAAUUACUGGGCGUAAAGGGUCUGUAGGUGGUUUGUUAAGUCAGAUGUGAACGCCCAGGGCUCAACCUUGGAACUGCAUUUGAUACUGGCAAACUAGAGUACGGUAGAGGAAUGGGGAAUUUCUGGUGUAGUGGUGAAAUGCGUAGAGAUCAGAAGGAACACCAAUGGCGAAGGCAACAUUCUGGACCGAUACUGACACUGAGGGACGAAAGCGUGGGGAUCAAACA